rnacentral:rRNA from 1 species
CGACUUCUGGAGGGUUGUAUUUAUUAGAUAUCAAGCCAAUAUUCCUUCGGGUCUAUUGUGGUGAAUCAUAGUAACUGAUCGAAGCUCUCUGAGCUAAAUCAUUCAAGUUUCUGCCCUAUCAGCUUUCGAUGGUAGUGUAUUGGACUACCAUGGCAGUCACGGGUAACGGGGAAUUAGGGUUCGAUUCCGGAGAGGGAGCCUGAGAAACGGCUACCACUUCUAAGGAAGGCAGCAGGCGCGUAAAUUACCCAAUCCCGAUUCGGGGAGGUAGUG